rnacentral:rRNA from 1 species
ACGAAGAAGGCUUCGGGUCGUAAAGUUCUUUUCUUAGGGAAGAAAAAUGACGGUACCUAAGGAAUAAGCACCGGCUAAAUACGUGCCAGCAGCCGCGGUAAUACGUAUGGUGCAAGCGUUAUCCGGAAUCACAGGGCGUAAAGGGUGCGUAGGUGGUUUUACAAGUCAGAAGUGAAAGGCUACGGCUCAACCGUGGUAAGCUUUUGAAACUGUAAAACUAGAGUGCAGGAGAGGAAAGUGGAAUUCCUAGUGUAGAGGUGAAAUUCGUAGAUAUUAGGAGGAACACCAGUGGCGAAGGCGACUUUCUGGACUGUAACUGACACUGAGGCACGAAAAGCGUGGGGAGCAAACAGGGAUUANUAUACCCUGNNUAGUCCACNCCGUAACGAUGAAUACUAGGUGUCAGGGGGUCGAANCUCGGUGCGCAGCUACGCAUUAAGUAUUCCNCCUGCGGAGUNCGGUCGCAAGA